rnacentral:rRNA from 1 species
AUUGAACGCUGGCGGCAGGCCUAACACAUGCAAGUCGAGCGGGGUGAUGGUGCUUGCACUAUCACUUAGCGGCGGACGGGUGAGUAAUGCUUAGGAAUCUGCCUAUUAGUGGGGGACAACAUCUCGAAAGGGAUGCUAAUACCGCAUACGUCCUACGGGAGAAAGCAGGGGAUCACUUGUGACCUUGCGCUAAUAGAUGAGCCUAAGUCGGAUUAGCUAGUUGGUGGGGUAAAGGCCUACCAAGGCGACGAUCUGUAGCGGGUCUGAGAGGAUGAUCCGCCACACUGGGACUGAGACACGGCCCAGACUCCUACGGGGGGCAGCAGUGGGGAAUAUUGGACAAUGGGGGGAACCCUGAUCCAGCCAUGCCGCGUGUGUGAAGAAGGCCUUAUGGUUGUAAAGCACUUUAAGCGAGGAGGAGGCUCUUUUGGUUAAUACCCAAGAUGAGUGGACGUUACUCGCAGAAUAAGCACCGGCUAACUCUGUGCCAGCAGCCGCCGUAA